CUAGGUAAGGUUGCAAUUGGGGUGAGGGAAGGCAGCGGGACCGAGGGAGUUAUCAGGGGUCAAGAAAGAAAGAGUGAAGACAUAGUGUGUGGGAUUGAGUGUUCAGUUAGGGUUAGGAACAAGGUGGCGUGGUGGAUGACAGGUGUGAUUGGGUAAGGCAAGUGUUGUGGUGGGACGAACCAGGGGUGCAAGCUGUUGCCUGUUGGCCAAAUCACACCAUGGACUUGCAGCGUUGGCAGGAUGCCCAUCUCCCCUGGGGCUAUCUCAAGGCACUUCACCCAUCACAAUGGCUCGCUCAUUGGACUUUCUCUGCAUCAGUGUUGGUCUCCUCUCGCUUUGUCCAGACUCUGUAACCCUGCUGCAAAUAGACCAAGCAGUACAUCCCGACAGGAGGAUGACAAUGAUGCUGCCUUCAAGUGCUGUCCGAAAAUUCUGGAAUAGGAUUAUUUUAGUACCCAAGUUAACGAGUUGUGAUGUUUCUUCAAUGACCUUUCACCUUUUCAAUCAAGACGAUAUUGUCAAGAUUAGCAAUGGCAUGUUCCAUCAUCUUUAUUCUGGGGCUGCCGUGGUGAAGAAAUGACCCCUUCAGGGGGUUCAUUACGCUCCAUCACGAAGGCAUCUGUCAAACCUGGAUCAUCAGUAAUGGGCGUGCCCUCAUCCGCCAACAGAUACAUAUCCCCGCCCACAUGAUGGGCUUCCAACGCUGCUAAAAUGUCCUUCUUGCAAAUAUUCUGUCUUGAUAAAAAAAAAACAUAAUGAUGAGCAAACUAGACCUGCUGUUCAAUAAAUCAAUUAAAUGCA